UACGUAGGGUGCAAGCGUUAAUCGGAAUUACUGGGCGUAAAGCGUGCGCAGGCGGUUGUGCAAGACAGAUGUGAAAUCCCCGGGCUCAACCUGGGAAUUGCAUUUGUGACUGCACGGCUAGAGUGUGUCAGAGGGGGGUAGAAUUCCACGUGUAGCAGUGAAAUGCGUAGAGAUGUGGAGGAAUACCGAUGGCGAAGGCAGCCCCCUGGGAUAACACUUACGCUCAUGCACGAAAGCGUGGGGAGCAAACAGG
rnacentral:rRNA from 1 species